AGAAAGGGGAGGAGAAGUGGGAGUAGGAGGGCAAAACAAAACAAAAUAAAACAAACAACAAACACUAAGGCAGAGAGGGACACAGGACCUGGAGAUGGGGCCUGAAGAAACAGCCUGCCAGGCUGUUCAUAUUUCCUGAGAGCUUCCAUGAGGAAGAGGGGCAGCUGCAGGCCAGGAGGCCUGUAGAGGAGUCAGCAGGUCUGACAAGGAGUGCCUUGGGUGGAGACUCCCUGGGGCUAAUUUUGGUGUCACCACUGACUUCCUUUAGGGUGCUGAGCCUUGGGUUCCUCAUGUUUUGGUAGUAUUUGGGUGCUGUCCUUCCAUAGACACAUCAACAAGUUCUCCUCCAGAUUACAUUUUUACCUGCCUCUUCCUUUUCUGAGUAACCCUAUGGAACAAGAACUCCUGACCCAGCACUCCAAGAAGCCAAACACAAAACCAUCCCCCGUCUUUGCUAUUGUAUUACCUCUGGUUCCCUCCCACAGCCUCAUUCAUUCAUUCAACAUUUUUGGGAACCCUGGCCACAUUCUAGGCUCUAUGCCAGGUGCUGGAGUCUCACAUGUAGUCCCUGCCAUCUGGUAAUUAGUGAUGCUAGUGAGUGUCCAAGGAACUGAUCGUUAAAGAAGAACACAUGCUGGAAGAAAGAGAGGAAAGUCGAGCAGAAGAGAGGUGGACUAGCUUGGCCUGGGGUGGGCAGACGGCUUCCUGUAGGAGGUGGCAUUUCAGCUGGGUGGCAUUUACAGGAAGCCAAAGGUGCAGGCAGAUGCACAAGGAGGAAGUGAUUCUCACCCAGGCAAGGAGCACCAUAGGACAGGUUCAUAUAGUGACAUGGGCUGGAAGCUUUAGAGUAAGAGGACUUGAGGUGUAGUCCCAGCUCUGCAGGGCCAUAUAUAUGUCCCUGAGCAAUGCAGAAUAAUCUCGUAGAUGCUGCAAACCCAAGGGAGGUGUAGGUGAGGAUGUAAAUGAGGAUUGUGGAACCCAUUUGUUCCUGGGACAAUGUCGGGGACUUAUGGGAGAAGGACUGUGUUUCCCAUUGUCUAUCCUUUGGGGCUUUGACAUUUCUCACCUGACAGCCCUUUACAGAGUAAAAGCCUCAGUGAUUCUAAUCAUGCUUGGUGAACACUUUGGGGCAGUUGCCUCAUUGGACCCUUAGAAACCCAGGUCACAGAAACACCAUCACUUUUCUGAGAUUCGAAGUCCUCCCUCUCCAGGUAAGUUGGCCUUGAAACCAGGAAUCAGCCAGCCCUGGGACUUUUGCCCUGUUCCAGGCCAAGGGAUCUGUACCUUUCUCCCAAACUGCUGGUGGCUCCAGGAAGAAAUCGAGUGUAGCUGACUUUAAGCAGUUAAACAUCAAAUGCAUUCAUCCCAAGUCUAGGCAUAUACCUAGAAGGAGUGACUCUUAAAUUUGGUCAUUUCAUUGUGUAAAAUUGAGGUUGUGGCUUAACACAUGAAAGCCAGCAUGGGAUGCCGAUUUUUUGUGUUGUAUUCUUUUGGGCAAUCUCAAAGUUCCAGGCAGCCUGACCUUCCUGAGCCUGUGUUCCCUUCCCUCCCCUCCCUGGCUUUUCAUUUCAUCUACAACAGAUGUCAGCAGAGGCCCUGAGUGUUUCCCAGGCCACUCAAGCAGAAAUCCAUUCUGCUCACAAGGUGAGGAGAGCCAGGAGCUCACAAAGGCUCCUCGUCUCCUUCCCCAGGAGGUUCAAGAUAGGGCAUCCCCAGGACAGACCUGCCCUGGGGACCCCGGAACACAAGGCAGGCACUGAGAAGCAGGAGUGCCUGGGCAGGGAGGUUUUCAUAUCCUCCAGGUUUAAUAGCUUUCCCUGAGAUGGAAACUUGGGUUGAAAUGAUUUGCAGCUUUCCAGAUUUUCUGAGUGUGUGUCUUUGGGUUUAUUUUUAGCCACAGGCGUUCAUUUCUUGCCAAAAAAACCUGCUUAAAUAAAACCAAGAUUAAUAUUUUUACUUAACGGAAAGAGUUAGUCAGGACAGGCUUUGAACUGGGACUCCUUAUCUUGAUGGGGAGUGCAUAUUAAUGGUCUGGCCUUGGCUUUGACAUCAACAAAAAGGGCCUUUGAAAUGGACAAGAGAGAACGGCCCUGGGGGAUCAGGGUAGGAUGCAGGAAGAGCUUAUUUGUGGGACUUUUCUGGAGAGCGGAGAGUUCCUCUUCACUCAGGCCGCUCGCUGCUCCCUGCCCCCAGCCCCAGGCCCCGUGGUCUUGCGGUGGGAAGGGGGAGUCAUCAUUUUCCUGGAAAGGCAGGAUAUCUGCUCUGGCUUUGCUCAGAGCCCAGCUGUGAUUCUGCCUCAUUUCCAGAUGCUCUCUUUACCUCCCCCUACCCAGAUCAGGUCUAGACUUCUACCUUAAACUGAGUCAAACAGAGCAAACUGAGUCUCUUCUGCAGGAUGGGCUGAGGCUCAGAUGUGAUGCCAUCUCUGGGGUGCGUUCCUGACACCCCUCCCCUGAGACAGACUUCAUGUCCUCUUGGCUCUGUCCUGGAUUUCCAUCCUGACUUAUAUUGCUGAGCCUGCCUUUCUUGAGUGUUAUUGCCGGUCUCUCUUACCUCUGGCUCUUGAGUUCCUAGGAGGCUUAUGUAUCUCCAUAUCCCUAUAUACUUCUAGCACAAUACUCAAACACCUUCCUGGUUGCUGAACAGUUGUUAUCUGACCCUAUGAACCGAGAACUGCUAUUAUCCCCUUUUGAUAGAAUAAGAAUCUACAAGUAAUCAUCAUCAGCAAUAUAACAGUGUAUCAUCUGUCUAGCUUCAGGGUUACAAAGUACCUUUGUACGUAUACAUUGUCUCAUUUAAUUAAUCAGUCUAAUUAACCUCAGACUCCCAGUGUUGGGAGAAACCUUAGGGUGAGUGUGGUUUUGUGGUUUCUAAGUUAUUUGUUUUUCUUCCAUGAAAGCCUUGCUGGAGAACACAAAAGGCUAACUGAUGAUAUGAUAUAUUGUUAUAUUGCUGAUGGCAAUUACUUCUAGAUUUUUAUUACUAAUCAGAGGACGUGUGUGUGUGUGUGUGUGUGUGUGUGUGUGUGUGUGUAAGUGAUUGGGAAGGGUGGUAGGUGGGUGAUGAAAGGAAUCUGGAGCUCGCUGGGAGCUUAUCAAGGGUCCUUCCUUUUAGGUAUAAGUCUUCUUCUCUGAUCCUCUGCAGUGAAAGUGGGGUGAUGCAGUAAAAUUAUGAACUAUUUUGCAACAAGUGUGAAUCCCUUGUAAAGGUUUUAAGGUGGUCUGCUGUCCUGGGGGACCUCUCUUCUUUUUUUUUUUUCCACUAGGAUUCAAAACUCCUUGCAGGCUACCUGAUCUCCAUUUUCACAGUUGGAAAAUAGGGACAUUAAUAGCCACAACAGUAGCCACUUUACCCGGUUACCAUGAGGACAGAGUGGAAGAACCAUGCACACAUUGCUUGGCACCUAGGAGGCAUAGGAUAAAUAGUAGUGGUUGUUAUCAGUAUGUUCUAGUUCCUUUACCUCUCCUCUAGAUUCACUGAUGUGAUGCUAAGAAAAGCAAGCAGUUCGUAGUUCUUGAAUGGGUGGGCAGCUGGAAGAGUGAGAGAGCCUGGCUCUGCCCUCCUGGGCAGGCUACAAUGUGGAGUGUCCAAGGUGGGCAGGAAAAAGACUGGCUUGGUGGGCUCCAGGCCAGCCUCCCUGUGGGGCCCUGACUUAAUUGCCUUUGCCAGGAGCACUCUGGCAUCAGCAAGACCCCUCCUUUUGUCAUCCUGUGGGAGAUGAUAAAAUAAACAUGAAGGGGCUAUGAGACAAGCUGGGUGACGGAGAUCCCUCUUUCCUCGUUUUUGGUGUGCUUUCAUGGGGUGGGCAUCAUUCUAACACUUCCAGAUCCCUCUUUUCCUCCAAGUUGAUGCCCAAAAUUUGGGCCCAUGGUCCAGGCUUUUCUUUUUACCUAGAACCUGCCUGCUGGGUUCCCGUGAGAAGAGCAGCCCCUUCCCUAGGGUUGACACUAACAGGGACUUCUGCUUUUGGAGAAAUGCAGUCUACCUGCUAACCAGAUGUGCCUUACUUAUCCUUGCUCUCCUUCUAGAAACCAUGCCUUAAACCAGCAAAAUCAUUCUACAGGGCCUAAGGGAGAGACAGGAAUGGGUGUGUGUGUGUGUGUGUGUGUGUGUGUGUGUGUGUGUGUGUGAUGUGGUGUGAAUCAACUCCUAAUUCAUGGAGAGGAUUUGUAAUGCUCUUCCCUUGAUGCUACCAUGGGCGGAACUCAGAGUCCUAAGUUAGUAUGCAUUAAUUAGUUAAGGAGUCCUUGAUCCUCAGACCAGCCAAAUGGGUAGCAUUGUUGCUUGUUGCUUGGCUUUCUAGCCUGCCAGCAGGAAAAUCCAACCAUCAGUUCAGGGGGAAAAAGGAUCUAGGUUCGGUUGAUGAUGGUUGGAUGGGGGAUGGAAGCAGAGAGAGAAAGGGAGGGCAGCUCAAGGGUGUCUUCCCCCACUCUGAAUAUGCUUAUGAACAGCACGUUUGCAAUUUCUGGAGACAUACUAGUAAGCUGUGCUGGAAACUCAAUCCCAAUUGCCGUUGGAAAAUUGUUCUUUGUUCAAAACUUGUGCCACUGUGGUCCACAUUGCUAGAGCUAGAGGUGGGGAGAGGCAGCAUGAAGUUAUAUUUAUGGAAGAUGUGUGCCUUGUUUGCCUUGCUUUUGUAAGCUCUUACUAGCACUCUCCCCCAAACAAAUAUUCAAAGGAAGCAAAGACAGUUCAAUAGAGAUAUACUUUUAUGCCUGGCUUCUCAGGUGC